GCGUGCUAAUCUGCGAUAAGCGCCGGUAAGGUGAUAUGAACCGUUAUAACCGGCGAUACCCGAAUGGGGAAACCCAGUGUGACUCGUCACACUAUCAUUAACUGAAUCCAUAGGUUAAUGAGGCGAACCGGGGGAACUGAAACAUCUAAGUACCCCGAGGAAAAGAAAUCAACCGAGAUUCCCCCAGUAGCGGCGAGCGAACGGGGAGGAGCCCAGAGCCUGAAUCAGCAUGUGUGUUAGUGGAAGCGUCUGGAAAGGCGCGCGAUACAGGGUGACAGCCCCGUACACAAAAGCGCAUGUGCUGUGAGCUCGAUGAGUAGGGCGGGACACGUGGUAUCCUGUCUGAAUAUGGGGGGACCAUCCUCCAAGGCUAAAUACUCCUGACUGACCGAUAGUGAACCAGUACCGUGAGGGAAAGGCGAAAAGAACCCCGGCGAGGGGAGUGAAAAAGAACCUGAAACCGUGUACGUACAAGCAGUGGGAGCACAGGUUUACCUGUGUGACUGCGUACCUUUUGUAUAAUGGGUCAGCGACUUAUAUUCUGUAGCAAGGUUAACCGUAUAGGGGAGCCGUAGGGAAACCGAGUCUUAACCGGGCGUUAAGUUGCAGGGUAUAGACCCGAAACCCGGUGAUCUAGCCAUGGGCAGGUUGAAGGUUGGGUAACACUAACUGGAGGACCGAACCGACUAAUGUUGAAAAAUUAGCGGAUGACCUGUGGCUGGGGGUGAAAGGCCAAUCAAACCGGGAGAUAGCUGGUUCUCCCCGAAAGCUAUUUAGGUAGCGCCUCGUGAAUUCAUCUCCGGGGGUAGAGCACUGUUUCGGCUAGGGGGCCAUCCCGGCUUACCAACCCGAUGCAAACUGCGAAUACCGGAGAAUGUUAUCACGGGAGACACACGGCGGGUGCUAACGUCCGUCGUGAAGAGGGAAACAACCCAGACCGCCAGCUAAGGUCCCAAAGUCAUGGUUAAGUGGGAAACGAUGUGGGAAGGCCCAGACAGCCAGGAUGUUGGCUUAGAAGCAGCCAUCAUUUAAAGAAAGCGUAAUAGCUCACUGGUCGAGUCGGCCUGCGCGGAAGAUGUAACGGGGCUAAACCAUGCACCGAAGCUGCGGCAGCGACGCUGAUGCGUUGUUGGGUAGGGGAGCGUUCUGUAAGCCUGCGAAGGUGGCCUGUGAGGGUUGCUGGAGGUAUCAGAAGUGCGAAUGCUGACAUAAGUAACGAUAAAGCGGGUGAAAAGCCCGCUCGCCGGAAGACCAAGGGUUCCUGUCCAACGUUAAUCGGGGCAGGGUGAGUCGACCCCUAAGGCGAGGCCGAAAGGCGUAGUCGAUGGGAAACGGGUUAAUAUUCCCGUACUUGGUGUUACUGCGAAGGGGGGACGGAGAAGGCUAUGUUGGCCGGGCGACGGUUGUCCCGGUUUAAGCGUGUAGGUGUGUGUUCCAGGUAAAUCCGGUUCACUUUAACACUGAGGCGUGACGACGAGGCACUACGGUGCUGAAGCAACAAAUGCCCUGCUUCCAGGAAAAGCCUCUAAGCAUCAGGUAACACGAAAUCGUACCCCAAACCGACACAGGUGGUCAGGUAGAGAAUACCAAGGCGCUUGAGAGAACUCGGGUGAAGGAACUAGGCAAAAUGGUGCCGUAACUUCGGGAGAAGGCACGCUGACACGUAGGUGAAGUGAUUUACUCA
rnacentral:rRNA from 1 species